UACGUAGGGUGCAAGCGUUAAUCGGAAUUACUGGGCGUAAAGCGUGCGCAGGCGGUUGGUUAAGUCAGAUGUGAAAGCCCCGGGCUCAACCUGGGAAUUGCAUUUGAAACUGGCCAACUAGAGUACGUGAGAGGGGGGUGGAAUUCCGCGUGUAGCAGUGAAAUGCGUAGAUAUGCGGAGGAACACCAAUGGCGAAGGCAAUCCCCUGGGCCUGUACUGACGCUCAUGCACGAAAGCGUGGGGAGCAAACAGG
rnacentral:rRNA from 1 species